rnacentral:rRNA from 1 species
GGGGAAUAUUGCACAAUGGGGGAAACCCUGAUGCAGCCAUGCCGCGUGUGUGAAGAAGGCCUUCGGGUUGUAAAGCACUUUCAGUAGGGAGGAAGGUAGUGUAGUUAACACCUGCAUUAUUUGACGUUACCUACAGAAGAAGCACCGGCUAACUCCGUGCCAGCAGCCGCGGUAAUACGGAGGGUGCGAGCGUUAAUCGGAAUUACUGGGCGUAAAGCGCAUGCAGGCGGCCUGUUAAGUCAGAUGUGAAAGCCCGGGGCUUAACCUCGGAAUUGCAUUUGAAACUGGCAGGCUAGAGUCUUGUAGAGGGGGUAGGAAUUUCAGGUGUAGCGGUGAAAUGCGUAGAGAUCUGAAGGAAUACCAGUGGCGAAGGCGGCCCCCUGGACAAAGACUGACGCUCAGAUGCGAAAGCGUGGGGAGCAAACAGGAUUAGAUACCCUGGUAA